rnacentral:lncRNA from 1 species
UAAAAACACGGCAAAAUUGAAAAAAACACAACGAAACAACCCAUUUUCCAUUACUGUGCGUGAAAGCAGAAGACCCUCUACCUUCUUCCUGUGUAGUCGACCACCAUCGCCACCUAGAACACUAGAUUUCACAACGAUUCAAAAUUAUUGAAGUCUUUUUGCUAAAAUGAAAACUAGUUACUAUUCACAUUUGCCCAAAAACACAUAAACCAAAAACUUGUAUAAUUAACAAUGGAUCACUACAUGAUUGUUUGUCUUUUACAGUUUUUUUUUUAUUAUUAUUUUAUUUGAAUUUGGGUGAUUUUGCUUGAUUGAUCAUCGAAUUUAGCGAUUAACGUCAUUAACGUGCCGAAAAUUUUAAAAAGACUUGCUUUUAGGUCUAUCCCUUGCACCUUUUAACCCGUUUGUGUUUUACUGCUUCUGCCUCUCUUAUUAUCGAAAAUCACUUUCUGGGUUCUGUAGAUACUGUAUAAAAUCUGUUGAUUUUCUUGGUAUUUUUUCUAUUUCUUUACUUUAUUUCGUUACAUUUUAUGGUUAUUCUACUAUGACAAUGUUUAGCAUACUCUUCUUUUAUCAUUUCUUUGUUAUAUUUCGUGAUUUUUUUGCUAAAUUUGACUAGAUGGGAAGUUGAGUAAUGCAUCUAUAAUUUAUUCGAUUCUGAUAUGAAAUCUAAUGCGGGAUUAUUAGAAAAUUAUAUUUAUAUGCCCAUAUACAAAACAUCGCUUAAUCCAUAAAUAUGACUCCUAGCUCAGUAACUAUAAUUUUGUUUUUUCCUUUUUUUUUGGUUUUUUCCUUUUUUUUUUGGGUGAUCCAUAAAUCUGAUGUUUUUGAACGUGAUGAAUAGUUUAUGCUCUAAUUUUGUCAAGGUCUUUAAUGACAACCUUGGGCUUUUGAAUUUGAGAAUCGUUACUUGGUUCAGUUUUAGUUUUGUCACUUUGAGAUUUAGGGGAGGAAGCUGCACAAUUAUCGUGUACUUGUUUAGCUUUAACGAUUUUUACAAUAUAUGCUUGAGUAGAAGAAAGAGCAAGAGGUGUAUCAGUGUGGUUUGUAUUUUCAGAAAUGGCAACUUUAAAAGGACUAGUAUGUGCUUAUUGGCGAAGAAUCCAUUGAUGAAGAUAUUGAUGAAUAAUAGAACGCAUUAUCCUUAUCACCUCCAACUAUAUACUCCUGUUUAGUUAAUUAGAUUAGGUUCUAAUUUAUUUUGUAUUUAUCAUGUUCAUAGUUUAGACUUAUCUUUCACUAUAUUUUGUGUAUAAAUACACUACCAAUGUAUUCAAUAAAAUACAACGGAGAAUUUCCUUUUCAUGGUAUCAGAGCCAAACGAUUCACACCUUGUUCAUGGCUGAUUCUAUCUCUUCUCUACUUUCGCUCAGUACGAUGGUCCAUAUGAUGACCAUCGAACUCACUUCCUCCAAUUUUCCUUUGUCGCACAGUCAGUUUAUUCCCUUUUUUGAAAGCCAGGAUCUCAUGGGCUUCUUAGACGGAUCAUCCAUUGCACCUUCUCCUCUCAUUACUGAAGGAACUACCCGAGGUCCAAAUCCAGCCUACAAGAAAUGGCGUACUCAAGAGUGUAUGUUGCUCAGCCUCAUUUUUACUUCCUUGUCUGAGGAGUGUAUGGUCGAGGUUGUCAAUUGUGCUACUACACGUGAUGCUUGGUUGACUCUCGAAAAAUCUUUUUCUCACAGCUCCAAGACACGUGAAAUUCAGCUGAAAGAUGAGCUUCAAUUGCUCCAGCGUGGCUCUCGUAGUGUGGCUGACUAUGCUCGCUCUCUCUGUGACCAACUCUCUGCCAUUGGGAAGUAGUUGAUAAUACAGACAAGGUGCAUUAGUUUCUUCGUGGUCUUGGCCCUGAUUAUAAUUUUUUUCUACCACUAUGCUUUCACAAUGUCCAUUGCCUUCCUUCGCCACCAUGGUCCCGCAAGCUCUUAGCCAUGAGCUCUUCUCUCGAUCCAUCCAUGGUGAAGUCCAACAACAAUCUGCUUUCAUUGCCAGCCACGACUUCUCCAUUAUUUCUGCUGGCCGAAACAAACACACUCCUUUUCCAAAAUGGACAGCCGCAACUCUUCCAAAUCUGCUGUUGUUACUUGCCAGUGGUGUGGCAAAGAUAAUCACACAGCUAAGAAGUGUUAUAAACUUGGCAAGUUGCUGAAAAAGGCUGAAGAUGGUGGUCUCAUUGAAGCUUUUUCAGCAACCUCUCUUGAAGACUCUCACGAAACCGAGUGGUAUACGGAUACAAGGACGACAUCGCAUAUGACUAAUGAUGCAUCAACUCUAGACUCCUCCAUCCCUUACAAUGGUAAUGAGAGGGUGUUUGUUGGUAAUGGUCAUUCUUUACCUAUAUCUCGUGUUGGUUCUAUUUCGUCUAUUGUUGCUUCCCAUUCGUUACCUAUGUCUAAUGUUCUUCUUGUUCCUGGCGUUACCAAAAAUCUUAUUUCCAUCAGUAAGCUUACUCAAGAGAACAAUUGUUCGAUAACAUUUUCUUCUUCCGGCUUUGUCAUACAGGAUCUGGCAACAAGAGCGGUGAAGAGAGUCGGCUGAUGUGAGAAAGGCCUCUAUGUACUUGAUCGUGCCCAUGCAAUUUUUUUGUCUUCUAUUGCUCUUUGUAAUAAUCAUGCUACCUCCAUCAUUUGGUAUGCACGUUUAGGACAUCCUUCUAUUAGGAUUUUGUCUUCUUUACAUAAGCAUGGUGCUAUUUUAAUUUCCAAUAAGAACAAUUUUAAUAAUGAUCGUUGUUUUGGUUGUCAAUUGGG